GACGAACGCUGGCGGCGUGCUUAACACAUGCAAGUCGAACGGAAAGGCGCUGCUCGUGUGGGGUGCUCGAGUGGCGAACGGGUGUGUAACACGGGAGCAACCUGCGCUGCACUUUGGGAUAACUCCAGGGCAUUGGGGCUAAUACCGGAGAGGAGCGCGUGCUGCAUGGGGGGGGUUGGAACGUGUAGGCGGGUUGGGGUGGACUGGGGGGUAAUCAGCUUGUUGGUGGGGGAGUGGCUUACCAAGGCUUCGGUGGGUAGCCGGCCUGAGAGGGUGACCGGCGACAUUGGGACUGAGAGACGGACCAGUGGGGAACGGGAGGCAGUAGGGGGGAAUCUUGUACAACGGGCGGAAGCGUGAUGCAGCAGCGCCGCGGGCGGGAUGAAGGCCUUCGAGGUGUAAACCGCUUUCGCCUGUGACGAAGCGUGAGUGACGGUAAUGGGUAAAGAAGCACCGGCUAACUACGUG
rnacentral:rRNA from 1 species